AGUCAUUCAACAGUUUGACAAAUCUGUCAUACAGAUCUGUCAAGGACUCACCAGAUUUUGAGUCAAAGUGCUCAUACUCCUGUGUAAGGAUGGUUUUUCUGUUCUUCUUGAUGGCCUUAGUUCCUUGACAUCUGGUUUCCAGAGCAUCCCAGAUUUGUUUUGCAGUUUUGCACCCAAUCACUCUAUUAGACAUUGCAUUAUCAAGGGCACUGUGCAG
rnacentral:lncRNA from 1 species